rnacentral:rRNA from 1 species
ACAUGCAAGUCGAACGGGAUGCUUAGGCAUCUAGUGGCGGACGGGUGAGUAACGCGUGAGAAUCUGGCUCCAGGUCGGGGAUAACAGUUGGAAACGACUGCUAAUACCGGAUGUGCCGAGAGGUGAAAGAUUUAUUGCCUGGAGAUGAGCUCGCGUCUGAUUAGCUAGUUGGUGGGGUAACGGCUCACCAAGGCGACGAUCCGUAGCUGGUCUGAGAGGACGACCAGCCACACUGGGACUGAGACACGGCCCAGACUCCUACGGGAGGCAGCAGUGGGGAAUAUUGGACAAUGGGGGAAACCCUGAUCCAGCGACGCCGCGUGUGUGAAGAAGGCCUGCGGGUUGUAAAGCACUUUUAGUGGGGAGGAAAACCCCUGACCUAACACGUCAGGAAUUGACUUAACCCAAAGAAAAAGCACCGGCUAACUCUGUGCCAGCAGCCGCGGUAAUACAGAGGGUGCAAGCGUUAAUCGGAAUUACUGGGCGUAAAGCGUGCGUAGACGGUUAUCUAAGUCGGAUGUGAAAUCCCCGGGCUCAACCUGGGAAUUGCAUUCGAGACUGAAUAGCUAGGGUGCGGAAGAGGGAAGCGGAAUUUCCGGUGUAGCGGUGAAAUGCGUAGAUAUCGGAAGGAACAUCAGUGGCGAAAGCGGCUUCCUGGUCCAGCACCGACGUUCAGGCACGAAAGCGUGGGGAGCAAACAGGAUUAGAUACC